GGCUCAGGACGAACGCUGGCGGCGUGCUUAACACAUGCAAGUCGAACGAUGAAGCCCCUCGGGGUGGAUUAGUGGCGAACGGGUGAGUAACACGUGGGCAAUCUGCCCUUCACUCUGGGACAAGCCCUGGAAACGGGGUCUAAUACCGGAUAACACUCCCGCCCGCAUGGGCGGGGGUUGAAAGCUCCGGCGGUGAAGGAUGAGCCCGCGGCCUAUCAGCUUGUUGGUGAGGUAGUGGCUCACCAAGGCGACGACGGGUAGCCGGCCUGAGAGGGCGACCGGCCACACUGGGACUGAGACACGGCCCAGACUCCUACGGGAGGCAGCAGUGGGGAAUAUUGCACAAUGGGCGCAAGCCUGAUGCAGCGACGCCGCGUGAGGGAUGACGGCCUUCGGGUUGUAAACCUCUUUCAGCAGGGAAGAAGCGCAAGUGACGGUACCUGCAGAAGAAGCGCCGGCUAACUACGUGCCAGCAGCCGCGGUAAUACGUAGGGCGCAAGCGUUGUCCGGAAUUAUUGGGCGUAAAGAGCUCGUAGGCGGCUUGUCACGUCGGGUGUGAAAGCCCGGGGCUUAACCCCGGGUCUGCAUUCGAUACGGGCUAGCUAGAGUGUGGUAGGGGAGAUCGGAAUUCCUGGUGUAGCGGUGAAAUGCGCAGAUAUCAGGAGGAACACCGGUGGCGAAGGCGGAUCUCUGGGCCAUUACUGACGCUGAGGAGCGAAA
rnacentral:rRNA from 2 species